rnacentral:rRNA from 1 species
GACAGAGGGUGCAAACGUUGUUCGGAAUUACUGGGCGUAAAGCGCGUGUAGGCGGCCAUGCAAGUCGGAUGUGAAAGCCCUCGGCUCAACCGGGGAAGUGCACUCGAAACUGCAAGGCUAGAGUCUCGGAGAGGAUCGUGGAAUUCGUCGGUGUAGAGGUGAAAUUCGUAGAUAUCGAGAGGAACACCGGUGGCGAAGGCGGCGAUCUGGACGAUGACUGACGCUGAGACGCGAAAGCGUGGGGAGCAACAG